rnacentral:rRNA from 1 species
GCAUGGCUGUCGUCAGCUCGUGUCGUGAGAUGUUCGGUUAAGUCCGCUAACGAGCGCAACCCUCGUCGUAUGUUAUAUGUGUCAUACGAGACUGCCGGUAAAAAGCCGGAGGAAGGUGAGGAUGAUGUCAAGUCAGCAUGACCUUUAUAUCCAGGGCUACACACACGCUACAAUGGUCUGUACAAUGGGUAGCCAAGCCGCGAGGCGGAGCCAAUCCUGAAAGCAGGCCUCAGUUCAGAUUGCAGUCUGCAACUCGACUGCAUGAAGCCGGAGUUGCUAGUAACCGCAGGUCAGCAAUACUGCGGUGAAUACGUUCCCGGGCCUU